UACGAAGGGGGCUAGCGUUGCUCGGAAUCACUGGGCGUAAAGCGCACGUAGGCGGAUCUUCAAGUCAGGGGUGAAAUCCCGAGGCUCAACCUCGGAGCUGCCCUUGAUACUGGGGAUCUCGAGUCCGGAAGAGGUUGGUGGAACUCCGAGUGUAGAGGUGAAAUUCGUAGAUAUUCGGAAGAACACCAGUGGCGAAGGCGGCCAACUGGUCCGGCACUGACGCUGAGGUGCGAAAGCGUGGGGAGCAAACAGG
rnacentral:rRNA from 1 species